GAUCGAGCUCUCUCCUCCAUCAGGUCCUCAGUUGUUUUGUGGUUUAAAGCUCUCUCAGCGCGGGGAAGGGGAGGAGACACACACACACACACACACACACACACACACACACACUCAGCAGCUCCGUUCCUCCGUUCGCGAGUAACCGAGCAGGAGGAGGCGAGCGCGAUCAGACCUCCAGGUGUGUGUAGAUGCGCGCGCGCGCAUGUGUGUGUAUGUGUGUGUGUGUUCCAGUCACACCUGGUUGCAUCAUGUGAUCAGAUACCUGGGCGUGGAGCGAGCGUUCAGUGUGUCAUUCGUUAACGGGAAUCCCGGAACCGCAGAUCUCUGUCUCUCCACGCGCGAGUGACAUGUGAACUUUCCGUGCACCGGGAAUCUAUUCCUCUCAGUCUGAAGGGAGUCCGUGGUCUGGACGCUGCAACUACUGCCAAGGUUUUCCCACUCAUCUUCUUCUGGGGCAGCAGACUGUAAGAUAUCUCGAGACCAAACCAUAGGAGGAGGGGACUGAAGACAACACAAGCUGGACCACGUCUCCACCUGAGCUCUGUUUUAAUGCACCAAGUUGCUUCAGCCCUUUAUAACACCGCAAACAGCCUGCAGGUAAAUGAUGAACUAUGCUUUCAGUUUCUGCCAAGAAUAAGCAUUGCUCAUUGUGAUUUAUUGUUCCUAAUUUCAGUUUUAGUGAACAUUUUUGUCUUUCUAUCUUUUUAUAAAUGCUAUAAACACAGUUAAAGGAAUAGUUCAACCUAAAAAUGAAAAUGUGCUUAAAAUAUACUCACCCUCAAGCCAUCCA